rnacentral:rRNA from 1 species
UAGGGAAUCUUCCACAAUGGACGCAAGUCUGAUGGAGCAACGCCGCGUGAGUGAAGAAGGUUUUCGGACCGUAAAGCUCUGUUGUUGGUGAAGAAGGAUAGAGGUAGUAACUGGCCCUUUAUUUGACGGUAAUCAACCAGAAAGUCACGGCUAACUACGUGCCAGCAGCCGCGGUAAUCGUAGGUGGCAAGCGUUGUCCGGAUUUAUUGGGCGUAAAGCGAGCGCAGGCGGAAGAAUAAGUCUGAUGUGAAAGCCCUCGGCUUAACCGAGGAAUUGCAUCGGAAACUGUUUUCUUGAGUGCAGAAGAGGAGAGUAGAACUCCAUGUGUAGCGGUGGAAUGCGUAGAUAUAUGGAAGAAUACCAGUGGCGAAGGCGGCUCUCUGGUCUGCAACUGACGCUGAGGCUCGAAAGCAUGGGUAGCGAACAGGAUUAGAUACCCUGGUAGUCCAUGCCGUAAACGAUGAGUGCUAAGUGUUGGGAGGCUUCCGCCUCUCAGUGCUGCAGCUAACGCAUUAAGCACUCCGCCUGGGGGAGUACGACCGCAAGGUUGA